rnacentral:rRNA from 1 species
GAUGAACGCUGGCGGCGUGCCUAAUACAUGCCAGUCGAACGAAACUUCUUUAUCACCGAGUGCUUGCACUCACCGAUAAGAAUUUAAUGGCGAAAGGGGUGGGAACAAGGGGGCAACCUGGCCAAAAGAGGGGGGAAAAACCUGGAAACAGGUGCUUAUACCGCCAUACCCUAGUUACCGCCUGGUAACUUUGUAAAAAGUGGCCAUACUUACGGUUUUUGAUGGGCCCGCGGCGCAUUAGCUAGUUGGUAGGGUAAAGGCUUACCAAGGCAAUGAUGCGUAGCCGAAUUGAGAGGUUGAUCGGCCACAUUGGGACUGAGACACGGCCCAAACUCCUACGGGAGGCAGCAGUAGGGAAUCUUCCACAAUGGGCGAAAGCCUGAUGGAGCAACGCCGCGUGGGUGAAGAAGGUCUUCGGAUCGUAAAACCCUGUUGUUAGAGAAGAAAGUGCGUGAGAGUAACUGUUCACGUUUCGACGGUAUCUAACCAGAAAGCCACGGCUAACUACGUG